UAGGCUGCAACUCGCCUACACGAAGCUGGAAACGCUAGUAAUCGCGGAUCAGCACGCCGCGGUGAAUACGUUCCCGGGCCUUGUACACACCGCCCGUCACACCAUGAGAGUCUGUAACACCCAAAGCCGGUGGGAUAACCUUUAUAGGAGUCAGCCGUCUAAGGUAGGACAGAUGAUUAGGGUGAAGUCGUAACAAGGUACC
rnacentral:rRNA from 1 species